AGUCAGUCAAUUUUAGACUAUAAGCGCACGCUUAAUUUUUUUUACGAAAAAUUGUUUAUUGGGAAUAAAUCACUAAACAUGUUUGCAUUAAAAGUCAUAAUGAUCCUGGCUUGCAUAGCUAUUUCAUUCGGCGCAGAUCCGAUUCGUCCGCAGGGUACCUAUCAUUGUGGUACCAAUCUUUAUCCGCAUUCAUGUUGGGCCUAUUGCACUGAGAAAAGAACCACGUGGUGUUGGACUGAUGAAGGUGCAUACUGUAGACCUCAAAGAGGUCAUUCACGUGGUGAUACAUGUACUGGAGAAGUUUGUUACAGUGCAUGUGGUUAAUAAAAAAUCCAAUUGCAGAAACAUAUGACUGUAAAAAAUUCAUUUUAACUCUUUGCAAUAAACCUUACCGCUUAAGUGUCA